rnacentral:tRNA from 2 species
GAGCGUGACGCCUGUAGGCGUGUUACUUUGCAAAGGUAUUAUAGGUGUUUUAGUGCCCUCGCUUU